AAUGAACGCUGGCGGCAUGCCUUACACAUGCAAGUCGAACGGCAGCAUGACCUCUCUUGCUCGGUUGAUGGCGAGUGGCGAACGGGUGAGUAAUGCAUCGGAACGUGCCUUUUAGUGGGGGAGCACGUAGCGCAAGUUACGCUAAUACCGCAUAUUCUCUGAGGAGGAAAGCAGGGGACCUUCGGGCCUUGCGCGAGAAGAGCGGCCGAUGUCGUAUUAGCUAGUUGGGGAGGUAAAGGCUCACCAAGGCAACGAUCCGUAGCGGGUCUGAGAGGAUGAUCCGCCACACUGGGACUGAGACACGCCCCAGACUCCUGCGGGAGGCAGCAGUGGGGAAUGUUGGACAAGGGGCGCAAGCCUGAUCCAGCCAUGCCGCGUGAGUGAAGAAGGCCUUCGGGUUGUAAAGCUCUUUCGGCUGGGAAGAAAUCGCACCCUCUAAUACAGGGUGUGGAUGACGGUACCAGCAGAAGAAGCACCGGCUAACUACGUG
rnacentral:rRNA from 1 species